CUCCUCGGCUGGUCCUGCUUUUCGCAUCACACACUAUAUAAAUAUACGCAGAGAUCGCCCGAUGCAUUCAUGCACCGCGCGCACAGGAUACUUGCUUCAGGGAGAUAAGGGCUGGCCGGGGAACAAUGACGGGGUUCACGCCCAGCGUCCGCGCCCUGAUUCCCCGCGGUCGGCAACGCUGCCCCCUUCACCUCCACACCCCCCCACCGCACCCCACCCCCCUCCGUCCCCAAAUCCAAAGCCAAACGCCGUUAGAUUCUUUCCUUUUCCCGGGGCCCUUGGCCCAAGGUGGCCGUCCUGACUCAUUCACUUUCCGUUUCUUCCCACAGAUACGUUCAUUAAUGCUUUUUCCAGCCGGAGUCCAAACUUUUUUUGGGGAUGGGAAGACGACGGCGGGGGAGUUUGCUAGAACGUGGGAUAACCUGGCCGGAGCGCCUAUUGCUGGGGGAUGAUCUGGACGCACACCGAAGCAAACCAACCAUUAAUAGAACGGACCCCGCGGCCGACCUGCCCUCCACGCCGCCGACCAGCAUGUCCCCCCACGGCGCGCAGCACGCCAGAGCGCAGCACAGCAGAUCCAGACAUCUCCCCGAGUCCUCCCAGGGGGGAAGAAGAAGAAGAAAAAUCCAG